rnacentral:snRNA from 1 species
AGAGAAUCGCUUGAGCCCAGGAGGCGAAGGUUGCAGUGAGCCGAGAUUGCGCCAUUGCACUCCAGCCUGGGGGACAGAG